rnacentral:rRNA from 1 species
GCAGGCUAGAGUUCGGUAGGGGAGAUCGGAAUUCCUGGUGUAGCGGUGAAAUGCGCAGAUAUCAGGAGGAACACCGGUGGCGAAGGCGGAUCUCUGGGCCGAUACUGACGCUGAGGAGCGAAAGCGUGGGGAGCGAACAGGAUUAGAUACCCUGGUAGUCCACGCCGUAAACGGUGGGCACUAGGUGUGGGCGACAUUCCACGUCGUCCGUGCCGCAGCUAACGCAUUAAGUGCCCCGCCUGGGGAGUACGGCCGCAAGGCUAAAACUCAAAGGAAUUGACGGGGGCCCGCACAAGCGGCGGAGCAUGUGGCUUAAUUCGACGCAACGCGAAGAACCUUACCAAGGCUUGACAUACACCGGAAACGUCUGGAGACAGGCGCCCCCUUGUGGUCGGUGUACAGGUGGUGCAUGGCUGUCAUCAGCUCGUGUCGUGAGAUGUUGGGUUAAGUCCCGCAACGAGCGCAACCCUUGUCCCGUGUUGCCAGCAGGCCCUUGUGGUGCUGGGGACUCACGGGAGACCGCCGGGGUCAACUCGGAGGAAGGUGGGGACGACGUCAAGUCAUCAUGCCCCUUAUGUCUUGGGCUGCACACGUGCUACAAUGGCCGGUACAAUGAGCUGCGAUACCGUGAGGUGGAGCGAAUCUCAAAAAGCCGGUCUCAGUUCGGAUUGGGGUCUGCAACUCGACCCCAUGAAGUCGGAGUCGCUAG